UGGGGAAUCUUGCACAAUGGAGGAAACUCUGAUGCAGCGACGCCGCGUGAGCGAAGAAGCCUUUCGGGGUGUAAAGCUCUUACGCCAGGGACGAUAAUGACGGUACCUGGAGAAGCAGCUGCGGCUAACUACGUGCCAGCAGCCGCGGUAAUACGUAGGCAGCAAGCGUUGUUCGGAAUUACUGGGCGUAAAGGGUGCGUAGGCGGCGCUCUAAGUUUGGUGUGAAAUCUCCCGGCUUAACUGGGAGGGUGCACUGAAAACUGGGGCGCUCGAGUAUGGGAGAGGAUAGCGGAAUUCCUGGUGUAGCGGUGAAAUGCGUAGAGAUCAGGAGGAACACCUGCGGUGCAGACGGCUUUCUGGACCAUCACUGACGCUGAGGCACGAAAGCGUGGGUAGCAAACA
rnacentral:rRNA from 1 species